AAAUUGAAGAGUUUGAUCAUGGCUCAGAUUGAACGCUGGCGGCAGGCCUAACACAUGCAAGUCGAACGGUAGCACAGAGAGCUUGCUCUCGGGUGACGAGUGGCGGACGGGUGAGUAAUGUCUGGGAAACUGCCUGAUGGAGGGGGAUAACUACUGGAAACGGUAGCUAAUACCGCAUAAC
rnacentral:rRNA from 1 species